rnacentral:rRNA from 1 species
GACGAACGCUGGCGGCGUGCUUAACACAUGCAAGUCGAACGGAAAGGCCUCUUUCGGGGGGUACUCGAGUGGCGAACGGGUGAGUAACACGUGAGUAACCUGCCCUUGACUUUGGGAUAACUUCAGGAAACUGGGGCUAAUACCGGAUAGGAGCUCCUGCUGCAUGGUGGGGGUUGGAAAGUUUCGGCGGUUGGGGAUGGACUCGCGGCUUAUCAGCUUGUUGGUGGGGUAGUGGCUUACCAAGGCUUUGACGGGUAGCCGGCCUGAGAGGGUGACCGGCCACAUUGGGACUGAGAUACGGCCCAGACUCCUACGGGAGGCAGCAGUGGGGGAUAUUGCACAAUGGGUGGAAGCCUGAUGCAGCAACGCCGUGUGCGGGAUGACGGCCUUCGGGUUGUAAACCGCUUUCGCUCAUGACGAAGCUUUGUGUGACGGUAGUGGGUAAAGAAGCACCGGCUAACUACGUG